rnacentral:rRNA from 1 species
UCUGCCUGUAAGUGGGGAAUAAUCCCGAGAAAUCGGGACUAAUACCGCAUAUGCUCUACGGAGUAAAGCUUUUGCGCUUACAGAUGAGGGUGCGUCCUAUCAGGUAGUUGGUGGGGUAAAAGCCUACCAAGCCUAUGACGGGUAGCUGGUCUGAGAGGAUGACCAGCCACGCUGGGACUGAGAUACGGCCCAGACUCCUACGGGAGGCAGCAAGUGGGAAUAUUGCACAAUGGGCGAAAGCCUGAUGCAGCGACACCGCGUGAAGGAUGAAGGUUUUCGGAUCGUAAACUUCUUUUAUCGGGGAAGAAAAUAUGACAUUACCUGAUGAACAAGCACCCGCUAACUACGUGCCAGCAGCCGCGGUAAUACGUAGGGUGCAAGCGUUAUCCGGAAUUAUUGGGCGUAAAGAGAUGCGUAGGCGGUCUGUAAAGUUUUUGGUGAAAUCCUCCGGCUCAACUGGAGAACUGCCAAGAAUACUCACAGACUUAGAGGGAAUCAGGGGGUACUGGAACUCGUGGUGUAGUAGUAAAACGCGUUGAUAUCACGAGGAACACCAAAGGCGAAGGCAGGUACCUGGGAUUCUCCUGACGCUGAGGCUCGAAAGCGUGGGGAGCGAAACGGAUUAGAUACCCGUGUAGUCCACGCCGUAAACGAUGGAUACUAGAUGCUUGGGGUAUUGACCCCCUGGGCGUCGCAAGCUAACGCGUUAAGUAUCCCGCCUGGGGAGUACGGUCGCAAGACUAAAACUCAAAGGAAUUGACGGAAUCGAAUU